rnacentral:rRNA from 1 species
AGGGUUUGAUUAUGGCUCAGAUUGAACGCUGGCGGCAGGCCUAACACAUGCAAGUCGAGCGGAUGACAGGAGCUUGCUCCUGAAUUCAGCGGCGGACGGGUGAGUAAUGCCUAGGAAUCUGCCUGGUAGUGGGGGACAACGUUUCGAAAGGAACGCUAAUACCGCAUACGUCCUACGGGAGAAAGCAGGGGACCUUCGGGCCUUGCGCUAUCAGAUGAGCCUAGGUCGGAUUAGCUAGUUGGUGAGGUAAUGGCUCACCAAGGCGACGAUCCGUAACUGGUCUGAGAGGAUGAUCAGUCACACUGGAACUGAGACACGGUCCAGACUCCUACGGGAGGCAGCAGUGGGGAAUAUUGGACAAUGGGCGAAAGCCUGAUCCAGCCAUGCCGCGUGUGUGAAGAAGGUCUUCGGAUUGUAAAGCACUUUAAGUUGGGAGGAAGGGCAUUAACCUAAUACGUUAGUGUUUUGACGUUACCGACAGAAUAAGCACCGGCUAACUCUGUGCCAGCAGCCGCGGUAAUACAGAGGGUGCAAGCGUUAAUCGGAAUUACUGGGCGUAAAGCGCGCGUAGGUGGUUUGUUAAGUUGGAUGUGAAAGCCCCGGGCUCAACCUGGGAACUGCAUUCAAAACUGUCGAGCUAGAGUAUGGUAGAGGGUGGUGGAAUUUCCUGUGUAGCGGUGAAAUGCGUAGAUAUAGGAAGGAACACCAGUGGCGAAGGCGACCACCUGGACUGAUACUGACACUGAGGUGCGAAAGCGUGGGGAGCAAACAGGAUUAGAUACCCUGGUAGUCCACGCCGUAAACGAUGUCAACUAGCCGUUGGGAGCCUUGAGCUCUUAGUGGCGCAGCUAACGCAUUAAGUUGACCGCCUGGGGAGUACGGCCGCAAGGUUAAAACUCAAAUGAAUUGACGGGGGCCCGCACAAGCGGUGGAGCAUGUGGUUUAUUUCG